GACGAACGCUGGCGGCGUGCUUAACACAUGCAAGUCGAACGGUAAGGCCCUUCGGGGUACACGAGUGGCGAACGGGUGAGUAACACGUGGGUGAUCUGCCCUGCACUUCGGGAUAAGCCUGGGAAACUGGGUCUAAUACCGGAUAGGACCACUGCCUGCAUGGGUGGUGGUGGAAAGAGUUUGCGGUGUGGGAUGGGCCCGCGGGCUAUCAGCUUGUUGGUGGGGUGAUGGCCUACCAAGGCGACGACGGGUAGCCGGCCUGAGAGGGUGACCGGCCACACUGGGACUGAGAUACGGCCCAGACUCCUACGGGAGGCAGCAGUGGGGAAUAUUGCACAAUGGGCGCAAGCCUGAUGCAGCGACGCCGCGUGAGGGAUGACGGCCUUCGGGUUGUAAACCUCUUUCAGCACCGACGAAGCGCAAGUGACGGUAGGUGCAGAAGAAGGACCGGCCAACUACGUGCCAGCCGCCGCCGUAA
rnacentral:rRNA from 1 species